rnacentral:rRNA from 1 species
UACGGAGGGUGCAAGCGUUAUCCGGAUUCACUGGGUUUAAAGGGUGCGUAGGUGGCUUUGUAAGUCAGUGGUGAAAUGCCGGAGCUUAACUCCGGAACUGCCAUUGAUACUGCUUAGCUUGAAUCACGUCGAGGUGGAUGGAAUAUUACAUGUAGCGGUGAAAUGCUUAGAUAUCGUGAGGAAGACCAGUGGCGAAGGCGGAUCUCUGGACAGUUCCUGACGCUGAGGCGCGAAGGCCAGGGGAGCAAACGGG